AUUGACAGUUGAAUAACUAUUUAGCACAAACUGAUAAAAUAAAAUAAUAAUAAUAAUAAUAAUAAAACAUUGUUGGAGGAUCUAGAUAUAGAGUUUGAGAUGAGUGCAUCUUUAUGCCUUGUACUUAACACACAUACACACCCUAAUCAAUGUAUUGGGUAUACUCCUCUGGCUGUGUAAAAAACAAAUAAAUAAAAAAUAAUAAUGAGUGCAUCUAUUUUCAAUCAACUUAUGAAAUAUAUUUAUCAAUCAAGAUUGUCUCAUUUAUAUAUUUAGAUAUAAUAGACAAACAAACAUUCCAUCCUGAAAAUGUUGGUUUUUUUAACACAAGACUUUUUCAAAACUCCUGUAAUAAGAUUUCAGAUUACAAGAUUAAAGAAGUUAAAACAACCCUUCCACAGAUUGAUAAUUGCAUUGUGCUAUUUGAGACAUAUGUGCCAUUUGUGUUAAUAACUGAAAACUUGCAAGUUUUUAUAUGGCAGGGAACAUACUCAAUUAACCUGCAGAGAGUUUAGCAUUGUCUUAUAUUAUUUCUUCAUGAAGCUUGGCAAUUAAACAAAAUCAACAUAAGUUUUAAGUGCACGGGGACAGAUGCCCUUCAACUAUGGAGUUAAAGAUAUAUGCAAGAAUUCUAUAUGGAGAAGAGGAAGAAGCAAAAUUAAGGCGCCUUCCAGUGCCACCUGCUGGGAUAGAGUUGGUAGCAAGGAUUGCCAUAAACCUUGGUGAUGGUGACUGAAUCCAACUCCCACACCUUUUAUGGGUGGACCAAACCCAACUCCCACACCCACCAAAGAUAUAAUAAUACUAUUUAUACAUUCAAAUUGGCAACAUUCAAAGAUAUUUCAAAACUAUGUAAAAAGAAGAAGAAGAAGGAAAAACAAAAAAAUCUACUCAUCAACAAUGUCAAAAAGACUAUUAUGUCAGUGGCACCAAGGCACACUGGUGUCACAAACCUUCAUACUUCCCAUUGGUAAUUACUGUUUGUUUGUUUAUAUGUAUUUUUAAAUUUUAAAUAUAAAUUUUAAAUUAGAACUAAGAAAAUAACAUAAUGAUUUCCAAGGAUUUACACCCUUGAAAUCAAGAGCAAUAAGAAAAUUUUCAUUGCUAAUGGUUCAAAAUGUGAAGUUUAUUGUCACAUGGUUCUCUUCUCUGUAAUAAGCUGUGAAGCUCUUGCAUGCCAUGCUAGGCUUGUGUGGGGCUUCCAGCAGGUUUGCAAUAAACUGAUGAUUAAGUUGCGUGAGUCUCAUGAGUUUUAGAGUAAUACACACCUAAUCCCAACAUUUGUGUGAUUGGGAAAUUAGUUAGCUGCUAACCCGUGUUUUAAUGGUGUCCGUGAUCAUGGCCAUGAGUACCUUGGGAUCAUGGGUUUGGCUUCACAUAUACACCAACUUGGAAGCAUAUUCUUUUUCUUCUUCUACACUUGAUGGACACAAUAUAUCCAACAACAUUCAAACCCCUGAACCUCUUCACAAGAGAGGCAUAUAUGAUGCUCUUCUACCACUUGUUCUUUGUUGAGGACCCAGCAUCCAAAACAAAAAGAAGUAGAAGAAAGGACCCACUCCUCUUUCUUCAAUGAAAUGGAGAGAGCUCAAAGUUGAAGCUUUGUAUUCUUUCACCACAUGUGUGUUAUGGUUCUUGGUCAAGGCACAAUACGACUCAAAGAGAGAGUUUGCUUUGGUUCCUGUUCUGGAACCAAAGAGCCCACUGUCAGAAGCCCUUUUCUGCAAUACAUAAAGGAGCUGAAAUAGGUGAGUGUGUGUGUGUGUGUGAGAGAGAGAGAGUGAGUGAGUCUGCCUUGAGAAGGAAGUAUACGUGGGUACAUGUAUGUGUGAAAUCCAUCAUAUCUCCAUCAGUAGAAUAGGAACAAAAGGUAGGGGCACAUACACUCUUGUUGUAACAAACAAGCUGUCAAGGUCACAAAAGCAGCCCCCACAUAUUCACGAAGGAUGGUUGAGGUCAAGCUCUGGUGACACCAUCAGAUAGGCAACCCACUUCAUGGUUGCAACCAACAAAGCUCGGGUCAGAUGCCUCCACACGAAACCCUUGUGUGCUUUGAAGGAAGGAUCUUCCAUGUCAAGUAGGUUAGGAUGGAUGCUUUUUCAUUGCUUUGAAAGAACAAACCCAAUUGGGUUUCUCCGUCAUUAGACAAUGAUGUCUAUUACAACUCAUCAAAGAAUUAUGUCUAUAUAUGUGAAGGGGAAAACAAAAGACAAACAAACAAACAAACAAACAAACAAACAAACAAAUGUUUCUCUUGCAAUGAUCCACACAACUGCAUUUGCUUUA